rnacentral:lncRNA from 1 species
UCACCUCCCCCCCCUCCCCCGUUGCCCUCAUGCCUGGAAACGGAAGUGCGCUCCCGGAAACGGAAGUGAAUGCCGUACUCCGCGUGCAGGCCCGCCUCCUUCCACAUCAACCAGUCUAAGGUUGCUCCCACCAGACUAGGAGGACUGGAGAGUAGGGUUGGGGUCAAAGGGUAGCCUCCUGCAGGUCGCCUCCUCCUGUGGCUUUCCCGGACGUCGCGCUGGGACUUCCUGCCGACACCGCACUUCUUCCCAGACUCCCACCUGCGCCGCUGGGGGCUUGGGUCCAGAUUUCCAGGGUCUUUGAAGAUGUUAGUUCACUGUUUAUUCAUGUGGGUUCCUGUAAAUGUCUGCAGCCAAUCUGGAAGUGGAGCUGUAUUUGGAACUUUUUGAAUCUAAAUCAGUUUGGGAGAGAGGGAAUAUCUUGACAAGCGCCAGACAACUGAACCCCUAGAAACUUCAGGUGGUUAGCCUGAAUGUUUGGGUGUAUUCCCCAACAAACAUUCACGUCUGUCUUACGAAAGAACUCAUAAAGGCAUCAAUAGAGAGGACAAGUUGUGGGAUGUAAAGAUGACCAUACCUGCUGGAUGUUAUUGCAAGCAACAGUAUAACUGAUGUAACGCUGAGAAAAAGUAAGUUGCUCCUGGUUGUCCUUACAGGUUGAGAAAAUGGUAUUUCUAGGUCAGUAGCUCACAUUUGUAGUAAAUUAAUGAACAUUAGUUAUUAGGGGAAAAGUAUGGGCACUAAUAGCACAAUUUGCCAGAAACAUAAAAUGAGUAAACUUAAAUGUACCCAAUUACAGUGCCCCCCAAAAAAGGAGAGUUUUUUUUUUUUUUUUUUCCCUGAGACACGGUCUUGCUGUGGCCCGGGCAGGAAUGCAGUGGCAUGACCUCGGCUCACUGCUACCUCUGCCUCCUGGGCUCAGGUGAUCCUCUCACCUCAGCCUACUGAGUAGCUGGGACUUACAGGUACACAAUACCAUACCUGGCUAACUUUUUUUUGUUUUGUUUUUUGUAGAGAUGGAGUUUCGGCUCAUUGGCUGGGCUUGGUCUUGAACUGGUAAGCUCAAGUGAUCUGCCCGCCUUGGGCUCCCAGACAUGCACCACUGCACCUGGCCUAGAGAGAGAGAUUUUUAAAGAAAACAAUUUGGCUGGGGGCGGUGA